UUUCCGUAGGUGAACCUGCGGAAGGAUCAUUCAUAAUAAGUGUUCUACUGCACUUUUUAAAAAUAGUACUCACCUUGUGUGCAAUUUUGUGUUUCUUUUCGGAGAAACACCUACACCAACCUAUAACCUUGAACCACUUUGUCUGAAAAACUAUUAUGAAUACUUAAUUCAAAAUACAACUUUCAACAACGGAUCUCUUGGCUCUC
rnacentral:misc_RNA from 1 species